ACCACCCUGCCCCAGGAAGUGGGGUGAAGCCAGUCCAGUCUACCCAUGGAACUGAUGAGGAAUGAUCUGACUAGCCACUACUAACAAAACCGACCCUGAGGUUUUAUAUGGCCCACCCGAUGGAUGAGAUGAUGUCUCCUCUGCAAGCAGGUCUAAUAAAAGGAAGGCAUAAAACAGGGUGUCAAUAAGUAAGUCAUCAAAAUUUAAACUUCCUGACUACUCUAUCACCAAGAAAGGACGCCUAGAACACGGGAGAGAUUGGAACCAUUAAUCAUUCAUCAGACACUCAGUCCAGUAGCAGGCAGAAGAAUCCAAGGAUCCCAGAGACAACCACACUGCCCACAAGGAACAGCCCCAGACAGGAAUUGAUUUGUUCCAACAAGCUCCUCAUUGGAAAUACAAGCAUUCUCCAAAAGGGUGUCGGUAUUCAUUAAAUUCUCCUUUGAGACGGAGAUACCUCAUUGUACCUGUGAAGUCCAAAGCAGAAUAUUAGGGUUUCAGAAGUCAAAGAGGGAACAAUAUAGCAGAGAUAAGCUGGGAGCAGCAACUUUACAAAGCAGAUCCAGAAUUCCUUUCUGGAAGAAGGCCCCAGCCAACUGGCCUCUCAGGUGUCACUCUUCACACUUUAUUACUCUCGGAGAAACUACAAGAUAAACCUAAACUGUGAAUUCCUUCAAGGGGAAAUCUGAUGUAAAUGAAUAACUCAUAUCUAGCAGGGAUGAUACAUAUUACAAAAUAAGAUGACUUGAUUUUUUUAAAGGUCAAAUCUUCCAUGAUGAUUUGACAAUAAAUUAUUUGUUAGAAUACAUAUCUAUGCAACUUAAAAGAACAUAUGGAGUUACAGAGUUGCAUCAAUGCAAACAGAGUUUACCCCCUCAAUCUCUCUUCUAAUUUUUAUAACCCUUUUUAAAGUCCUACUGUAUUUUCCUUCAAAUUUUCACAGAUCUGGGGGAGAUAAUUUUCUCACACCCAUUUAUUUUGUUAGGGUGAAGAAACUGAGGUUCAAAUUCAUCACUAUGAAAGGAAUGGCACAUUUAGACUCAGGGCUGAAAUUUAACUAGAUCUGAAAUGUAACUAAAAUGUUAACAAAGACAAUUGAAAAUCUGAUCGGUUAUAGGAUUUUUAACAUCUUCCUCUCUGAGCCUUGCCUAGUCAACACGUAAACCCACUUGAAGUUUUAUACAAAACAGCUGCCAUUAUAAAACUCAAAACAAAAAGGUACAUGAAUUCAGUGCUUUUACUUUAUACCAUCAAGGCAGUCUGUAAAUAUACAAAUUAUCAAUGCGUCAAAGAAUUGGUUACAACCUAUUAAUCUGAGAAGUCACUGUUAAUAGUCUGGAGUUAAACAAACACUGUUUGGUGAAUGAGGACAAAUCACCGUUAACAGCCAAGAGUUAAAUAAAAGCUAUUCAAUGUAUUUACUUUCCCUUUUUUAAAAAAUGGAGGGGCAAAGCCAUAAUGAGGACUACAAAGCAUCUUUUGCUUUAUCUAAACAUGGCAACGACCACAAAUCUUAGGUGUGUCAACUCCAUUUUGAACAAAGCCAUUCCUUUAGAGAUAUGCAAAUGACUUCAUUAACCAAUGAAGAUAUCCUAUUUCUAAAUUUAAUAAUCUUCUAAGCAUAUGUCUCUUUUAGGACACCCUUAGGUUCACACAAAGUCACGGAAGAUUCUCAAAUUUCUUUGUCUAUGAGACUCAUAAGACUGGGAACACUGAAGUGGAUGUCACCCUAAAGUCAUUGUAUCAGAUGUUUAUUUACACCCUAAUGAGCGUAAACAUUAAUCUACAAAAAACCAAGCAAAAGAGACACGUCUUGAUUUACUACUCUUAAUAAUAUUCAUAGUUCUUACAAAAGUUACACAAUAAUUAAGUCCAUUUUUGCCAAGGAUUUGAAAAUGAAAAGAUUUCCUUCUGCUUGAUAAUUAACUAUGAAAAGGCAUCAGCAAAAUUUUUAUUAAAAAAAUAAAAGCCUUCUCUUCUUUUGGCUUAUUUCCAUACAAAUACAGCUGAUCUAAAGACAAACAGUUUCACCUUUCUUUUAAUAAUCAUUGCAUAGAGGUAUAUCAGUUAAGUCAGUCUACUUAUGCUUUCAAAGACUUUCAAGUUCACUUAGGAGAGUGGGAAUAUUGUAUUUAUACACCCAAAGAGGGAGUGACAAUAAAUAAGCAGGCAGGGUAAUCUGAAUUUAAUUAGUUUCACCCUUUAUUUGUGAAAACAAGCAUCACACAAUUGUUUUGCAAAAGCAAAUGAUAUACAGGCUGUGAAAAAAAUACAAGCAUAUUUAUACCACUGAGACUCUAUAGAAACAAAGAUUUCCCACUAAGGACACUAAAAUUAUGGCAUUUUAGAGCAGAUAGGUAUUUUCCCCAAAUCUCCAUAGACGUGUAGACUCCUAACGUCACCCACAAGAAACCCUGUCAGAGGAAGCACAAAAGUUGUUAGUCAUCUUCUGGGCUGAAUAUAAAAUGCACAUUUGGGGUUCAUUUAACCAUAUGGAUUUCACUUGGAAAGUCUUAAAAAUCAGUUUCUGAGGUGUAAUUCUGGCACUGCCACAGAAACUCUCUCUGAGGAGGGUUUGCAAAUAUAUUGAGACAUUUAUGACAGGAUCCUCCUUAAACUUUUUGGACCAGGACAAUUUUUUCACUCCAGAAGAUUUGUCUAUAGGGAGCAAGACUUCCAUCAAAAUCCCUGGCCUGUUACUUUUGUUAGUGGUGCAUUUUAACGAUGCAUAAACCUCAGUGUAAAAAUCUAUUUUGUUUGUUUGAGACGUGGGGGUAAAGUUGCAAGAAAUAAAGACUACCAUCAGGUCUUCAGACAAAUAACUUGCACUCUUGCAAAUACUAAGCCACUUAAGAAAUUGUAGAGCCACACAGAAAGUUCAGGGCAAGACCAACCAGGAGCCCUUGAUGAGGAACCAGAAGUAAUCUCUCUCCCUGCUGAUUUAUCUAGAAGCUGGCUGCUCAGACUGUGGUUCCUGGGUCAGCAGAAUCAGUAUCACCAAAGAGGUCACUACAGAUGCAGACAGGCCCCACCCCAGAUCUACUGAAUUAAAUUCUGUAUUUCAAGAAAAUUCUCAGAGGAUCUGCGUGCACAUCAGAGUGUGAAAAGCAGUGAUCUAGAAACUGGACGCUGACUGAGGCUGGACGGAUGCUGCUUCUGUACUGUUUACUGCACUAUGUCCAGCACCAAGAGCUACACCCGGCCCACAGCGGACACCCAAUAGAUGUUUGCUGAGUAAAUCCAGCGCUUAAGAUCACACAUGUGAAGAGAACAGCAUCUUCCACUCUGCACUGGGAUCAUGGGCAUACAGUUCUUAAAUGGACACAAAACUGCAGGUCCCUUAAAGGCACAGAUGCUGCCUUCGCCACCUCUCAGUUCACUGUGUGCCUCCCACUGUCCACACGGGUCCCUCCACCUUUCACCAGUUGCAACCUUUAGAUGUUCAGUACGGAAAUAUGCUACUACCGUUAGACACUGAUCUUUACAAUGUUCCUUUAAUGUGAACACUUCAGAAAACUCAGUUUAAAUCAACAUAUCAUUUCUGAAUUUACCCAUUUGGCUCUGGUUUUAAAUACAGUAAGGAGAACUCACCCAAGAAAUCAAAGUAGUAAUGGAAAAUAUUAUUUAUGGCCAAGUCCUGAGUCUAUGUGGUACCACAGAACAGGAAUGGCAUGGAUGAUUGAAAUUCAAAACUGAUUCCAAACCUCAAGUUAUUCAAUAGCCUCAAAGUCUCUUCUUACCAAAUCUCACACCAGAGCUACUCUACAUCUCAGAAACAUCAUUUUUUUUUUUUUUAAUUUUCUUUCCCAAAUCCACCUACUGAAGAGUGAAAUGGCCAAAGCCAUCAAACGAGAAAUACAGGAAUGGAAAGAUAUACAUAAUAAACAAAGCAAUCAGUCUUCAAACAACCAGAUACCAACACCAAACUCUAGAACUAAGAAAUAACAUUGUGUGAAAGAGAUAGUCAUACAGUAAAUAACGAGCACAGAUGUGUGGAUAACAGGCCCAUUCCAAAAUGAUCCUCAAAAUAAGGAGAUAUUCAGAGUGAUAGGUAUUGCUGACUCUCCUAGCUCAGAUUUUAAAGGACAAAUAGUAAAGUGGGAGCCCACUUCUCAAUAAAGAAUUACUUUGUUUCUAUUAAUUAACUGAAUUAGACUGUCUUUAUUUUUUUUUUUUGCUUCAGGGAUCCAGUUUUAGGUUAAGCCAUCAGGUGUGUCUGACCCCAUGUGUAUAUACUCACACAGAAUAUCCUGUAGACACACACACUCUCUCUCUAGUGUGUUGUUUUCCCCAGAGUAUAGGUGACAAUGGUGAUAGCAGAGUGUGUAAUGAGUUUCCAUUGUUCCCCUGACAGCUAGAGUUCCACACAAGACCCUUUUCUUUUUAGGUUGUAAAUGCUAUGGAAAAAAAUACACUAGUCACAGGCAUUUAAUUAUGGGUCCAGCAACCAUAGUGGGAACACCAGUAGAAGAGGCUAGGAACUCGGAGACAGCAAACACAUAGAUUUCCACGGGAGGGGAGAAUUUGGUUCUCCAAUUACAGUAAUGCUUAAAAUAUUGAUGACAGGCAUAUGAUUAAAAGAAGAAAUUUUUAAUUUUUCCCCCCGAGUCUCUAUCGAGGAUAAAGUAUGUAUACAAUGCUACAUCAAUACUAAAACCAAGAAUACUAUUAUAUCCAUACUAAAAUAUUUAUUAGAAUAAAGACAUUGCUUAUUAAUAAGCAAACUGCAUGAAGAGGAGCUUCCUGUCUUGAUACUGUCAGUGAAGAAGUACAAUGAUUCAGUUUCAAUUUUGGUUUUCACAUGCAUGUAACAAAAUGAACACUUGUGAUAUCAAGUCUCUGGGUGCUGCGUCCCCUGAGGCUUCCUUCAAUUUGCUUUAUACAGUGUUUAAAACCAGGCAUCCCUUUCGUUGCUGUCGUGGCAGACACCAGCUCCGUCACUGAGGUCCUUUCUCGCCUGAUUAAUUAGUAAUUGGGAGACGCAUUUUGGCAGCUUUCACUUCCCUAUUAUUUUCUCUGGUUUGACACAAAACCCUGUCAGGAGCCCCACUAUCUGAACUGUACCCCUUUUACUGCCGGGUCACUAGAUUUUAAUAAACAGAGCCCCUGCCAGAGAAGUACUGAAAUAGGCAUGAAAGUUUCCUGAAGCAGUAACAGUAAACAAAUAUAUGAAGAAAGUUCUGAAUGCCACAGUCUCUGAAACAUUAAUGGUCUGUCUGAACCCAGGGGUUGGGGCGAGACUGCAGACCAGAGGCUACAAGAGGCCUGCAACAAAAUCACUGCUUUCACCUGCCUUAGAAAAAAGUCAAAAAAUACACACUAGCUAAAUAAAUCAGACAAACACCUGGUGCGGCAGAGCCGUCCAUCCGCGCCUCCUCCGUUAUCCCAGUCCGAUGAAUAAAUGUAUCGGGAGGAAAAGACUGGUGCAGACCGCGGGGACACAGGGCCCUUCCGGGAGUCACAGAAGCGCAGUCUAAGCCACACAACGGAACGUGGUUCACAGAAGCUAAGGUGAGGAAGUUAAAACUGAAGCCAGCAGGCCGAGACCUGGGAGAGCUGCAAACAGCUACAGAAUCACUUUCAGGUUCUCCAUCACAAGUGUCAGUCGCGUCAAAAGAGGGCUGCUGGGCGGUGGGACGCUGGCGGGGACACUUGUGCGCCGGGGCAGUGGCCGUGCUGUGGGGGUCAGAGGUCACCGCGUCCGCAUGCCGACAUCUGUCUGGAUUUUCCGGCCCCAAAACAACAGCAGGGGAACCAGGCUCAUUUGCCCCCACUUUGUUUAACCUAAUUGUUGAACACAAAAGAUACCUUCCCCAUAUCUAGAAUUAUUUUUCCUUUCCUCCCUAAUCCCCAUUUGACUCCCUAAAAUGAAAUACUAUUACAGAAAACCUCACCGAAAGGUCAAGUCCCCUAUCUAUUAUUAAAGUUGGGGGAAUGUGACAAAGCCAUAUUUUCCGCUGGCACCUGGGUACCACAGAACUUCAUAUCACGCCCACCACCAUCAACAUCUAGACAGCGAUCAGCACUGCAAUUAUCCCACCAAAAUAAGCCCCCACUGCCUCAAAACCGCAAAAUGGCAUUUUUAAUAGAAGAUACUUCCAUUUACUUUUAUAACAUGUGCUUUCAUAGUUCAGAGGCAAGAGCUAAUUGUUAAUUACAGUUUCUACAUACAUAAAUAAAUCACUAAUAAAACCAGAAUGGACAUUCUGACACCUUAGAGGCAGGGAGGAAAAACAAAAGUAAUUUGCUAGUUCAUUUCAAACAAAAAGGCCACUUUGAACAACUUGGCUAUUUUAGCCUUCUCCGUGAGCCAAAGAACAACAGAUGAUGGACAAUGGAGGAACAAAAGCUGUUAACUCAUACCUGGACUUUAACGAGGAGUCCAUGAGACGCAUGUCUUAUCCCAAAACAUGGGCUUUCUGUGUCGCCCUCACAGUGCCUCUGCAACCACCAAAAAUCCUACUUCAAAUGAACUAAAACAAUCUGUGACAUCAGCAGUAUUCAAUCUGUGCCCAGUUUAAUCAGACUGACUGAGGAGGCAGGUUACUUUGAAAUUAUUCUUAAGAAUUUCUGUUUUUGCUGCAGUGCAUGGGACUAAUGUUCCCAGACAUCAUCAAACAGAUGCAGUAGCAAGAAGCGUAGUAUAAAUUUUUGGUAAAGUUUACUAGGCCACAUGUUCCUCCAAAUGCAUCCAGAAAUUUAAAACAUGGUGGAAAUACAACAGUCUCAAUUUAGUACUCACUUUUUUUUUAAUAACAAAUAAGAAUUUACUUCCAAAAUAAUUGUCUGUAAGAACCCACAGGAACGGUUUAGUAAUGAGACUAUGAAAGCCUAUAUUGCAGGGAGCAGAAAGGCUCUGGUUUCGUAUAAUGCUUCUUAAAGCACCCCAAAUGCUUCUUUUUGGAGGUACCUACAUUUUUAUCAGUACCACUUACUACAGAAAGACUCUUAGGACCGCUGAGCAAUUUGGAGAAAAAAAUAUAUAUAUCAACCAACAAAUUUAAAAGACUCCUUAGUACAGUAAGAAAAAGGACAUCAGGAUUGGGGGGGGGCGGAGUAAUAGGAGAUAUUAAUAUAUGACUGAGAAAUUGUAAGUUUCAAGAGGAAAAUACAUACAUAAAGAUGGUACAGCCCAUACUUAACAUGAAAAUACAAUAUGUCUGGGUUUAAGAUAUAUCACUGCAAAGUUAAAAUAUCCAUUUUUGACAACUAAAUUCGAGAAGAUAGCAUUUUUAGUGAGCUCAGAGAUAAGACAGAGCUUUCAAUGGAGGUCCCCGCUCAGGAUGACUAUAAAGUGGUUUAGCCCUUUUCUAUCGUCCAUAUUCAUUUCCGGACCAUUU